ACGAAACGAAGGGACAAAAGAAAUCAAAAAGGACAAAACAAAACAGUGAAAAAAACGUCUUGAAUUUGUUUGCUCUUUCA
rnacentral:ribozyme from 1 species